rnacentral:lncRNA from 1 species
CAAAAAGUAUUUAAUUCACUUCCAUCCAAACAAAUUAAGAAAACAAGUUUCCUCUGGACUUUGCCUCAUUUUGUUCUACAAAUCUCUUCCAAAAUUAAAACCUCUUAUGACAGAUAUAUACCCCCUUAUUUUACAUGGUAUUACUCUUGGAAUUCUAUCUAUAACCCUCAUGAUAGAUGUAUUACAUUCCUCUCAAACUACUUGCAUUUCCCUCAACUUUUGAUGUUAUCUCAAUGAAUUCUUUUCUUGCUAUUCUAGGAAUUUUCUGUACCAUUGUGCCCAGAAUUGGUUCCUUCCCGUGGGUUCUUUGUCUCGCUGACUUCAAGAAUGAAGCUGUGGAUCCUCGUGUUGGUCUCCUAGCAACACAAUCAGCCUCCCUGUUGUCAUGUCCUUGGAUCACACGGAUCAAAGAAACCCUGCCUCACACUGUCUCAUCUCCACAGAAUCCCUCUUCCAACCUUCCUAUCUUUUCUAUUUCCCAUUGAUAGAGGGAAACUUGUAGACUCUUCUCAUCAACAAAAGGUCUUAAUUUUCAUCCAGACCGCCUUCAGCCCACUUCUACUGACCACAAGCUUUUGGAUCCUGCCCUGGGUCUCUGAGCACAGCAGAAUACAGGAGAAUCCCUUUCUUCUGGAGACAUGAUGCCUUAUCUUCCCUCCCAAAGGACCAUCUCUGCUUCAAUUCCACUGCCAGCCACAUCCUUGCUACUGCCCUCUUACUACUUCCUAUUCCAGCCAAACUGUAUUAGUUUUUAAUUUAUUUCACUCAGUUAUUCUUAUUACAGUUUAAAUACAGAAAAUACAAAAUAUGGAUAUUUAUUUUAUUUCUUAUUAUACAAGCAUAUCCAUGUUAUCUUUGAUAUUGCUACUUGGUCCACACAGGUGGAUAAGGUACUAUAUUUACCAUCUGACCCUUUAUAGAAAAAGUUAGCUGACCCCUCGUCUAAACUAUGAAGACAGAAACAUCUGUUUUUUUCCUUAUUGUAGUCCCA